UUAGCAUAUAUGUGACACCAUCAUGUCGUGUUUGCGUUUGAUCUAGUGUUGGCACCUGAAAUAUGUUUCACUUCUACUCUUUGAUCUGUAUUUGUAUUUGAUCUGUAUUAUAUAUCAAAUUAUAUUUUAAGCCGAAUUAAGCUGUUUUAAAUAGUGAAAUAAAAAUGUAAAUGGGAAUCAUGAAAAUUCUAUUUGUGGGGGCCAGUGUUGAUUCUGUGGUGGGCCACCACAAAUAAAUAAAUGUAUGGGAAACACUGUACUAUGCGGUAGGUUACCGGUUUUAAGGUAUACCGAGGUUUUAAACAGUCAAGGUUACAAAACCACUAAAAUGGUCUGUGAUACCGUCUCCAAGGUAUGAACUGUAUUUAUACAAAAUUCAUUAAAUCAUUAAGUCAUGUGAUUGAUUUGAUGUUUACAUGUUAUAUACAUUUUGAAAAUAUUAUAUAUAAUAUAAUUUAAAGGCUUUAUUUUUACCUGGCAUUUAAAAAUAACAAAUUUUAGUGUAGCAAUGGCAAUACAGCAAAACUGUAAAACCGUGGUAUUUUUGCUAAAGGUAAUCAUACCGCCAGAAUCUUAUACCGGCCCAUGCCUACUAAGCGGUUGUACCAAGUGUUAGAAACAUCAAGAUUCUCAAAUUUUUAGGGCUAGCGCAAUACCACAGUUUUGGCUAUUCUUCAUGUUCUCUAGGGCAGUUAUUUUGCACCAGUGACAGAAACAGUGACCAAAUAAUUCAUUACCUUAUCUACAUGUGAAGGAAGAUUUUUGGCCUGCACUUUCACAGCUGAUAUUAUAAAAAUCAGCUUAUGACAUUAACAUGUUUCAAGCGUUUUAAUUUACUUUUAUUUGUGAAGUUUAUCUAUCACAUGUGGAGACAUACGCACAUACGAAACGGCAAAAAAGACGCUAAAAUCUGGGUUAAGAGCAAAAAACUACCUGCGCCAAUCAGUUUUUGCCAUUUAUGGGCUUUACCCUAUAAAAGAAAACCGUUUUAUGCAUUUAAAUGACCUUACACGUUAUCAGUUUAUUAAGCGUUUAGACUAUGUAGACACAAUGUGCACUAAGAUAAAAAAAUUGGUUAACACGACCACUUGUGGUGGCUUCACUCAGAGGUUGGAGAAGACAACCGGUGGACUAAACAUCAAGCCUCUGCACGAUUCAGGUAAGUGGAAUAAAAUACAUUGUAAAUAAACAUUAUUAAAACAGAUUGUAAAGUCAUUCAUUCAAAACUUGCUAUGACCUAAGCCUAAAUGACUUAAUUUCUUUUUAGAAUUAAGACAACCUUAGCAGGAGAGCCCCAGCAGUAACUUUCUCUCAAGCAGAUGAACAAUAAGUUGCUUUGUAUGAACACCACCCUAACAAUCAAGUUUUCUACAGUAGUCUGUUAACAGUAGACCAAAGGUAUGAUGAUCAAUUUUAAAUGCAAUAUGGUUGAAAGGUCAGUAAACAAACAACAAAAAGGUAAUUUCUUAAUAGAAUGUCUGUACAUUUUUUGCUUUUGUUACAUAUUUCAUACAUCAAAAUCCUUAAACGUUAAUAAUUAUGUAUUCCAACUUGUUGCAGCUUGACAAAAAUGUAGCUUGAAGGAGAAGGGACAGCUGAGAAACAAAGUCCUGGUACGCAGACGACAAUACUAUAACACUGACAAGAGUAUAAUGAUGAUGGAGACGGAGACACAAGCCAGAGAAAGGGUGGACCAAACACCAGGCCAGAAUUCUGCAUGAGUCAGAUCCAGUGGGUGCAGAUCAUCAUACAGAUGGUUCAAGUGUGGAUCCACCUAAUAUUCAAGGUUUUCUGUCCUGGGACACUCGGCUAACCAUCAAGAAAGAACACACUCCAGUGGGCAUCCUUUAUCCAUCCAGACCCUCAUACAGAUGGUUGGAGUUUUGAUUCUCCUAAAGUACCAUGCAAGAGCACUCAUUUUCCCUCUUGAGACCAUGGUGUGACCUGCAAGGUCGAAUGGAGACUGUAAACGAGACAAUCUUGGAGUCACCUGCAUUCACUGGUCCAGUUAGUCCAAUUACAGAUGGAGAGUAUAGAAGAGGAUGAUGUCUUUUCUCCAACAUCUUUCUAGACUGAUAAAAGAUCUAGACAGGCUUGAACAAAAGUUAACAGAGGGGCUUAUAUAGAGAAUGGUGAGCAGCUACACAUAAAAGAAGAACAUGGAGAAUCUGCCCAGAGGUGUUAACCAGCAAUGCAGCUAUACAACUAAAUUGAUGCAGGCGGAAACAAUGUGUAAUGCAGCUGCUGCAGAAGAAGAAUCCGUCCGUCUACCACUGAAGGAGACGCGGAAAUUCCUUCCAAGAUGUUCUUUGCCCGAGGAAGCAUUUGAUUAAUUUAAAGAUAUUGUGUUUCUUUGUAUGUUAUAGAAAAACGUUGCUUUUUUUGCAUACACUCGUGUAAAUAUGCAUGUUAUGAAUGUUUUUCUUUUGUCUAAUUUAAAUAAAUUUUACGCAAUCAA